rnacentral:tRNA from 1 species
GCACCCUUGGUCUAAUGGUUAGGAUAUCUGCCUUCCAAGCAGAUGGUCCGGGUUCAAUUCCCGGACAGUGCA